GUCAAGGGCAAAUCAGAAAGAACUACCAUUAAGAAGUCUGUGACCAGGUUUAUAUAGUAAAGCAUAUCCUUAUCUGAGAAAACAGAUAAUGUUGGAAAAGAGACUGACAAUAAAAAGGACUUUUCUUACUCUUUUCAAAACUCUGAAUUGUGUCAGCAUCUUUUAUACAACUGAACAAUACUCACUGAAAGAAAGACAUAUUUACUUAAAGACUGCUUUAGCAACCAAAACCCAAAACACAACCAUAAACAGAAAGCACCAUCUAUGA
rnacentral:lncRNA from 1 species